GCACCAGUGGUCUAGUGGUAGAAUAGUACCCUGCUACGGUACAGACCCGGGUUUGAUUCCGGCUGGUGCA
rfam:Nicotiana attenuata strain TT chromosome 2, whole genome shotgun sequence.